rnacentral:misc_RNA from 1 species
GCCACUAUAUUUGCCAUUUAGAUUAUUCAAUAUGAGAUUUGAUUAUGUGAUUUGAUCAAAAGUUGAUCAAUUCAUUGCUAGUUGGAAUGAACAAGGUGGCGGCAUGGUGGAGUGCACCAUGGGUGCAUAUGGUUUGGCUCCUCCCAUGGUGUGCAUAAGGUUUGGCUUUUUAAUUUACAAUUAUUGUAUGAUCUAAAAGCUCAUCCU